UUGUGUCGCCAUCUUGUCGCACGUGGUGAGUUAGCCGCGUGAGGAAAGUCCGGACACCAUAGGGCAGCACAGCGGGUAACGCCCGCCCAGUUGAUUAUAAACUGAGGACAAGUGCAACAGAAAGCAAGUACAGUACGGCUGUAGUGAAAUCAGGUAAACUCUGUGCGGUGAAAUGCUAUGUAUAUCGGCUGAAAAGGGUUGCCCGCCCGAUGCCGAGGGGUGAGCAGAUAGAAAUUUGCAGCAAUGUGAAUUCCAGAUAAAUGACAAGACGUUUUAAGCAAUUAAGACUGACAGAAUCCGGCUUAUCGGCAUUUUUUUAAU
rnacentral:RNase_P_RNA from 1 species